rnacentral:rRNA from 1 species
UGGGGAAUAUUGCACAAUGGGCGCAAGCCUGAUGCAGCCAUGCCGCGUGUAUGAAGAAGGCCUUCGGGUUGUAAAGUACUUUCAGUCGGGAGGAAGGUGGUAAGGUUAAUAACCUUAUCAAUUGACGUUACCGACAGAAGAAGCACCGGCUAACUCCGUGCCAGCAGCCGCGGUAAUACGGAGGGUGCAAGCGUUAAUCGGAAUUACUGGGCGUAAAGCGCACGCAGGCGGUUGAUUGAGUCAGAUGUGAAAUCCCCGGGCUUAACCCGGGAAUUGCAUCUGAUACUGGUCAGCUAGAGUCUUGUAGAGGGGGGUAGAAUUCCAUGUGUAGCGGUGAAAUGCGUAGAGAUGUGGAGGAAUACCGAUGGCGAAGGCGGCCCCCUGGACAAAGACUGACGCUCAGGUGCGAAAGCGUGGGGAGCAAACAGG